rnacentral:rRNA from 1 species
UUUAAUGGCUGCAGUAAUUUGACUGUACAAAGGUAGCAUAAUCAUUAGUUUCUUAAUUAGAAGCUGGAAUGAAGGGUUGAACGAGAAAAUUUCUGUCUCUAAAUAAAUUUUUUAGAAUUUUAUUUUUAAGUUAAAAAGCUUAAAUUAGAUUAAAAGACGAGAAGACCCUAUAGAGUUUUAUAAAAAAAUUAAAUGAAUUUAUGAGAUUUUAUAUUUUAUUAAUUUAUUAAUUUUUUAUUUUGUUGGGGUGAUAAAAAAAUUUAGAGAACUUUUUUUUAAAAAAACAUUGAUUUAUGAACUAUUGAUCCAAAUAUUUUGAUUAUAAGAUUAAAUUACCUUAGGGAUAACAGCGUAAUUUCAUUUAAGAGUUCAAAUCGAUAAUGGAGAUUGCGACCUCGAUGUUGGAUUAAAAUUAAUUUUUGGUGUAGAAGCUAAAAUAUUAGGUCUGUUCGACCUUUAAAAUUUUACAUGAUCUGAGUUUAAACCGGUGUAAGCCAGGUUGGUUUCUAUCUUUAAUAUUAAAUAAUAUUUUAGUACGAAAGGACCAAAUAUUAGUAAAAUUUAUUUAUACUUGAAUUAUAAUAAAAA